rnacentral:rRNA from 1 species
UACGUAGGGGGCAAGCGUUAUCCGGAUUUACUGGGUGUAAAGGGAGCGCAGGCGGUCUUUUAAGUCUGAUGCGAAAGCCUUCGGCUUAACCGGAGUAGUGCAUUGGAAACUGGGAGACUUGAGUGCAGAAGAGGAGAGUGGAACUCCAUGUGUAGCGGUGAAAUGCGUAGAUAUAUGGAAGAACACCAGUGGCGAAAGCGGCUCUCUGGUCUGUAACUGACGCUGAGGUUCGAAAGCGUGGGUAGCAAACAGG